AUCGAUAAUCCACGUUAANUUUCACUUUAAUUUUAAAACUUAUAUACCGCCAUCUAAAGAAUUAAUUAAAAAAUAUUUCUCUAAAUAAUAUAUAAAAAGUUAGGUCAAGGUGUAAUCUAUAUUAAAGAACGAGAUGAAUUACAUUAAAUAUAAUUUAAAGAUUUCUUAUAAAUAUAUAAGAAAAAAUAAGGAUUUAAAAGUAAUAUUUUAAUAAUAAUAAUAUAUGAUAAAGAUAAUAAAUGUGCACACAUCGCCC
rnacentral:rRNA from 1 species